AGAUUAAGUUAUUAAGGGCGCACGGUGGAUGCCUUGGCACUAGAAGCCGAUGAAGGACGUUACUAACGACGAUAUGCUUUGGGGAGCUGUAAGUAAGCUGUGAUCCAGAGAUUUCCGAAUGGGGGAACCCAAUACGAGUUAUGUCGUAUUAUCGAUACGUAAAUACAUAGCGUAUCGAAGGUAGACGCGGAGAACUGAAACAUCUUAGUACCCGCAGGAAGAGAAAGAAAAAUCGAUUCCCUGAGUAGCGGCGAGCGAAACGGGAAGAGCCCAAACCAACGAGCUUGCUUGUUGGGGUUGUAGGACACUCUAUACGGAGUUACAAAGGAAUAGAUUAGACGAAGCAUCUGGAAAGAUGCAUCAAAGAAGGUAAUAAUCCUGUAGUCGAAAAUCUGUUCUCUCUUGAGUGGAUCCUGAGUACGACGGAACACGAGAAAUUCCGUCGGAAUCUGGGAGGACCAUCUCCCAAGGCUAAAUACUCUCUAGUGACCGAUAGUGAACCAGUACCGUGAGGGAAAGGUGAAAAGUACCCCGGAAGGGGAGUGAAAGAGAACUUGAAACCGUGUGCUUACAAGUAGUCAGAGCCCGUUAAUGGGUGAUGGCGUGCCUUUUGUAGAAUGAACCGGCGAGUUACGAUUUGAUGCAAGGUUAAGCAGUGAAUGUGGAGCCGUAGCGAAAGCGAGUCUGAAUAGGGCGUUGAGUAUUUGGUCGUAGACCCGAAACCAGGUGAUCUACCCUUGACCAGGUUGAAGUUCAGGUAACACUGAAUGGAGGACCGAACCGACUUACGUUGAAAAGUGAGCGGAUGAGUUGAGGGUAGCGGAGAAAUUCCAAUCGAACCUGGAGAUAGCUGGUUCUCUCCGAAAUAGCUUUAGGGCUAGCCUCAAGUGAUGAUUAUUGGAGGUAGAGCACUGUUUGGACGAGGGGCCCUUCUCGGGUUACCGAAUUCAGACAAACUCCGAAUGCCAAUCAAUUUAACUUGGGAGUCAGAACGCGGGUGAUAAGGUCCGUGUUCGAAAGGGAAACAGCCCAGACCACCAGCUAAGGUCCCAAAAUAUAUGUUAAGUGGAAAAGGAUGUGGCGUUGCCCAGACAACUAGUAUGUUGGCUUAGAAGCAGCCAUCAUUUAAAGAGUGCGUAAUAGCUCACUAGUCGAGUGACACUGCGCCGAAAAUGUACCGGGGCUAAACAUAUUACCGAAGCUGUGGAUUGUCCGUAGGACAAUGGUAGGAGAGCGUUCUAAGGGCGUUGAAGCAUGAUCGCAAGGACAUGUGGAGCGCUUAGAAGUGAGAAUGCCGGUGUGAGUAGCGAAAGACGGGUGAGAAUCCCGUCCACCGAUUGACUAAGGUUUCCAGAGGAAGGCUCGUCCGCUCUGGGUUAGUCGGGUCCUAAGCUGAGGCCGAUAGGCGUAGGCGAUGGAUAACAGGUUGAUAUUCCUGUACCACCAUGAAUCGUUUUAAGCGAUGGGGGG
rnacentral:rRNA from 1 species